UACGUAGGGCGCAAGCGUUGUCCGGAAUUAUUGGGCGUAAAGAGCUCGUAGGCGGCUUGUCACGUCGGUUGUGAAAGCCCGGGGCUUAACCCCGGGUCUGCAGUCGAUACGGGCAGGCUAGAGUUCGGUAGGGGAGAUCGGAAUUCCUGGUGUAGCGGUGAAAUGACGCCAGAUAUCAGGAGGAACACCGGUGGCGAAGGCGGAUCUCUGGGCCGAUACUGACGCUGAGGAGCGAAAGCGUGGGGAGCGAACAGG
rnacentral:rRNA from 1 species